rnacentral:rRNA from 1 species
UACAGAGGGGGCAAGCGUUAUUCGGAAUUAUUGGGCGUAAAGGGUGCGUAGGCGGUUGCCUAAGUCAGAUGUGAAAUCCCGGGGCUCAACCUCGGAACUGCAUUUGAUACUGGGUGACUUGAGUACUGGAGGGGAGACUGGAAUUUACGGUGUAGCAGUGAAAUGCGUAGAUAUCGUAAGGAAGACCAGUGGCGAAGGCGAGUCUCUGGACAGUUACUGACGCUGAGGCACGAAGGCUAGGGGAGCAAACGGG